CGUCCAGUAGCUCAAUCAGAGUACCGCAAGAAACCCUUGCGAACAUGCAGGUUCAAGUCCUGCCUGGACGACCA
rnacentral:tRNA from 1 species